UAAAAAAGCAUCAAAGCACGGAGCCCACAGUGUGCAGGCUGUGCUCUUAGCAGGUCACGUGGUAGACAAGAAGGCCAUCCACAAGGUCAGAGCCCGCAUCACAGGCCCAUAGCGGUAGGUAAUAAAGUCUGAGGGAGCCUUUCUCGUGGAGGCAGGGGGCUUCGGUUUUGCGGAACCCGGGGCACACGGGGAGGGCAUGUCCAGGAAAUGGAUCGUCACGGGUUGUCUGUGCGACGCUGCUGCUCCUGUAAGUGGGUAACAAAUUCAGCUCAGGUGGCUUCUUGUAAACCCUGCGGCUCGAGUGGAAACAGACCCGACCAGGUGUCCUGACGCCGGGAUGAAGGAGGACAUCGCCCCGCAGGCCGCAGGCUGGCACCCGCUUUGCCUCUGGCACCUCUUGGUGACCCCCACCCCUGAGGGCCGCCUCCUCCCCGGCCCCCUGCCCCCUUGCCCACCCGGGUGCCCGACCAGACCCGCGUGGGGGCUUAAGGCCGCGAGAGCCGUCUGGGCACGUGGAGGGGGAUGAUUGUUCCGCACGCACGUUACGAUCGAUGGCGACAGGGGUACUUUUCUGACAGACAAAACCCAGCUCAGCCUGCGGGACGCGGUAGAGGUUGCUUCCACGGUCGCACGGCAUCUCCUGCGGCUAUGUCUCGUCUCGGGGAGGUGACUUAGCCAGGCUGGAGCGGUCGGGCCCCACCCCACGCCCCUGGCCCCCAGCCUGCCCAGAUCUCCUAAGUGACUUCUCUUCGGGCUCCAAAGCUCUGCUCAUGCGCCCCUUCUUCCAGACUUGGCUGCACGGCCCCACAUGGAGAUGGUGACCUGGGGCCACAGGGGCCCAUCGGGAACUUUACGAGGAGCAGGUCGUACGCCCUGUCGCGACGCCCGCAUCCUGUGAUGCUCCGGGAGAUGUGGCUUCCCUUCCUGGUGCUUCCAUCGGUACCGGUGCUCCUCCUUCGCGGCCCUGACCCCGCACAACAAGCAUCUGCGUGCGCUACCCGCCCCCCACACCGAGGCCGUGUGACCUUCAAAGUCAGGGACUUUGCCUCAUCUCUGCGCUUCUGGAGCCCGUCGAGGUGCUGUUUGCAUAGAUGCUGAAUAAACAUACACCGGGAUUAAAGGCAGUUAAUGGAAUGGCAGCAAUGGAAGAAAUUCUAGGUCAGUGGCUCUCAAACCAGCAGGCAUCAAAAUCCCCCGGGGAGCUUGUUCACAGGCAGGUGUGUGAUUUAGCAGGUCCGACGUGGCCACCGGCUGCUGCCGAGGUCCCGUCACCUCGCCUAUGAGAGCCCUGCUCUGACGAAGGUCUGUCCCCAGCCGCCUACGUGAUAGAACUGAAGCGGAGGGUGUGAGGUGGGAAGAAAGCUUCUAACAUCCUGCCCGCCCAGCUCCUGUUCAGGUGCAGCGGCUGCGGCCAGCUCCGGAAAGCUCGGUCUCCCCGCGCGGGACAAGGUCUCCACUCAGCUUGCAGCGUCCUGACGGCCUCCAGCAACGGCCAGCUCUCCUAAUUAUCCUCCAGGAGGGCCAGGCGCCGUCCAUGCUAACCCCCGCAUUCAGGAGAACGAAGACAGAGGCAGAGACCCCCCGGCAUCUAAACGAGACCCCGGAUGUGUGUGGCGUGGGAUUCACAGACACCUGCUGGUAUCCGUUCCUCAAACUCCCCAGGGGACCACGGUGUGCGUCCAACACAGGACACACUGUGUCGGCCCAGUGACGGCCACCACCCUACCGAUGUGUGUGCUGGAUCCCCACAGGGACAAGACAGGGGACCCAUGUCACUGAGCAGAAGCCCAUCUCCUCUCCUCCACGUCCAAUGGGGCCGUCUCUGUGCAAGAGAGUGUAAGAGACCCACACCGCACUUUCUAGUAGGGCACCAAAGCAGUGGUCGUCAAGACCCAAAGCAGAUACGAAGCUCCUUUAAAAGAAAAAGAAAUAUGGGACGCCCGGGUGGCUCAGUCAGUUGAGCAUCCGACUCUUGAUCUCAGCUCAGGUCAUCUCACGUUUUGCGGGUUCGAGCCCCGCAUUGGGCUCUGCACUACAGAGCCUGCUUGGGAUUCUCUCUCUCUCUCUCUCUCUCUCUCUCUCCCUGUCUCUCUGCUCCUCCCCUACUCUCCCUCAAAAUACGUAAAUAAACAUUUUAAAAAUUAAAAAAGGAAAAAGAAAGAAAGGAAAAUAAAAGGGAUCAUGCGUCUCCUGUCUUG
rnacentral:lncRNA from 1 species